rnacentral:rRNA from 1 species
CGCGGGGCAGCACUUCUUCGGAUGGAGGCGACCGGCGCACGGGUGCGUGACGCGUAUAGAACUUACCUUUUACAGAGGGAUAGCCUUUAGAAAUGAAGAUUAAUACCUCAUAGCAUUGAGAUUUGGCAUCAAAUUUUAAUUAAAGAUUUAUCGGUAAAAGAUGGCUAUGCGUCCUAUUAGCUAGAUGGUGAGGUAACGGCUCACCAUGGCAACGAUAGGUAGGGGUCCUGAGAGGGAGAUCCCCCACACUGGUACUGAGACACGGACCAGACUCCUACGGGAGGCAGCAGUGAGGAAUAUUGGGCAAUGGAGGCAACUCUGACCCAGCCAUGCCGCGUGCAGGAAUAAGGUCCUAUGGAUUGUAAACUGCUUUUAUA